CCUACGGGUGGCUGCAGUCGAGAAUUUUUCACAAUGGGGGAAACCCUGAUGGAGCGACGCCGCGUGGAGGACGAAGGUCUUCGGAUUGUAAACUCCUGUCAUGCGGGAACAAGAAAGUGAUAGUACCGCAAGAGGAAGAGACGGCUAACUCUGUGCCAGCAGCCGCGGUAAUACAGAGGUCUCAAGCGUUGUUCGGAUUCAUUGGGCGUAAAGGGUGCGCAGGCGGCGUGGAAAGUUGAGUGUGAAAUCCUGGGGCUCAACCUCAGAACUGCACUCAAUACUCCCAUGCUAGAGGAAUGUAGAGGAGAGUGGAAUUCACGGUGUAGCAGUGAAAUGCGUAGAUAUCGUGAGGAAGACCAGUUGCGAAGGCGACUCUCUGGGCAUUUCCUGACGCUCAGGCACGAAGGCCAGGGGAGCAAACGGGAUUAGAUACCCUAGUAGUC
rnacentral:rRNA from 1 species